CCUGGUGAUUAUGGCGCAGGGCCCCCACCCGUUCCCAUCUCGAACACGGUCGUUAAAUCCUGCAGCGCCGAUGGUACUACGUCUCAAGGCGUGGGAGAGUAGGUCGUCGCCAGGC
rnacentral:rRNA from 1 species